UUAUGGCCACAUCACAUCGAAAACAUCAGUUCCCAUACGAUCAGUGAAGUUAAGCAAUAAUAAGCCGGGUCAGUAUGUAGAUGGGUGACCGCUUGGAAAUAACAGGUGCUGUAAG